GGAUGAAGGCUGCAGUUCCACGUUUAUCAGUUUCAUCCUACAAGUGUAGACAAUUAAUGUCAUCUGAAAUGCAAACAAAGAGGAUAGGUCAGCCUCGACGAACAGCAGAAGGCAAGUCACUGUAGAAUAAUUUGAGACAAGGAAGCAACUCUACAGUUAUUGUAAGAUCAGCCCAGAACAGAAGGCAUUACCGUCUCAGUGCCGAUAGCCUAUCCUGUAACGAGAGCGAUGGAAGAAUAUUUUGACGGAUUUGGGGAAUUCGAAGUUAUCAAAAAUUCGUUCCGAAAUCUGGAAAUGAAGAUGAAAUGGAAUGUACGACGAACACUUUAACAAUAAAGACUGUGUUUUAAUUCAUUCAUCGUCAACUUUAGUACUGCCAAAAUACCACACCCCUCCAAUGCCGUAACCUCAAUGAGAAGUGCAGCCGGUGAGACCUGGUGGCUUCAGAUAAGAAGGCUGCAAUUGUAGACUAUGGACACGAAGAACGGAGAAUAUGUACAAAACAUUCCUUGCGAUACAUUCCUCGCUCCACUGCACAGGUGCAUGUUGCGUUUAUAUUGGCGGCAACUGCAUCCAUCUCACCAAAAUUAAUGCGUCAUAUUUUAAGUCACGUGACCAAGCAGAAUCCUUUUUCCCCGAGGACAGGCACAACAGGUCUAAUAGUAAUACCGAAGCUACUCAAACGGGAUAUAAUUUAUAUCUAAUAAGAUAUAUUUGGCAGUUGGCGAAUCCCUAUACAUUGGAAUAUCAACAGGAAGAACUUGAGAUAUUCAGAAUGACUUUACAAAGUUUUUUCUUGGACAGAAAGUCUUCAAUUAUUGUGUGCGGACAAGACACCAUUUUUACGGCAGAGCUUCGCCGAGGCUAAUCCGAACCUCAGCCCCAGCUCACGGGAGGUUUGUUGAUGGGUCUCUGGACGGUUGUUCUGCCCCUGCUUCAUCAAUUUGAACUUGAUAAUUUUGUGACUAUCAGCGGACAGACAUGUUUGUGGAGCUUUGGAGAAAUAUUCUUUAUUGGAUCUUAAUGACAAUUUGUAAUGUUGCUGAAUUUGUGUUACUUGGAUCAUGGAUGCAUGGCGACACCAAAGAGAGGACAGAUGAACAUGCCGAGACUGACCAAACGUUGCU